rnacentral:lncRNA from 1 species
ACUCAUAUUAAUCUCAAUGAUGGAAGCUGUGCUGGGCUUGCCUUCUCUCAGUUAAGGCUGAUGUCACUUCAGUACCAUCCCGAAGCAUCCCCGGGACCUCAUGAUUCAGAUCCUGGUAUUUCUCAGAGUUAUCUCCUUUAAAACAAUUUUUUUAAUUUACUGAACUCUUGAUAUAUAGUGUGCUGCUAAUAAUCUGUUUCUAAGCAAAUUUUUUGAGUCUAUUGCUAAUAAAAUUGUUCUAUGGGCAGUAUUUGGGGAAUUCAUGCAACUUAUGAAGCUAGAAAAACAGAACGCAUGAAUGUAAUUCAUAACGUCGUUCAGAAGGUUGAGUGGUGGCAAAUUAUGACUCAUUGGUUGAGAUGAUGAUCAAGAAAAAAGUUGAAUACUCUAUGAUGAACUUCAGAGACCAGUCGGAAAUGUUGUAGUUGUGACUUUCUUUAUCUUACUGUGCUAAUCUUAUUGAUUUGCUUGAUCUGGUCUGGCUAAAUAAUUGCAUGGAAAAAAGUUGGUUGAAUUUGUCGUCGGUUCUAAUUGGGUGAAAUUGCCAAACCCAGGUUUCAUCCUUUGUAAUAUUCUAUAGUGCUAGGAUUUAUUUAUAUACACCACUAGCCUUUUGCUUUUACAAUGGUCAAUUAUUUUAGCAUUUCCAGCAGGCCUUGGUUGUGCUUAAUUUGCUUUAAACUGUUGUUCGAGUGAACACAAUACCUUAAUACACGAAAAUGUCCAAGUGCUCGAGCUCACCUAAGUCUAUCGGAGAUCUUGAAGUUCCAAUAAGCUAAGCUGGAUUGUUGGAACUCCGGGCCAUGGGGAACAGAGGACAUUUGUAGGUUUCAAUCCCUGGAAUAAAAUGGAGUGAGAUUCCAGUUGCAAAGAUUGGUAUACUUGCUAUAGGUUGCAGUGGGAAAAUUUGCAAAAUAGGCCCAGAAUAUGUAGAAAUGUCAUAAGUGGAAAUAUCACCACACACUACACAUUUAAAAAUAAUUCAUUUAUUACAUUUCUAUUUAUUUUUCACCAAAUAUACUGCAAUUUUUGUAGUACUUUUGAGAACUGGA